rnacentral:tmRNA from 1 species
CGGGCUUGAGAUGAGGCGUCACACAGUAGGCUGGCUUCUGCGUUUCGGUCCGUAAUGCAGCGGCGAGAACCAUCGGACUAGCCGGCCGCGUUUCUUGCUCAUUCUAAGCGCGGAGGGCGAACCCAAACGGAAUUGAGCUAAGCAUGUAGGCUUCUGGCCGUAGCGCUUUUCGGACGGGGGUUCGACUCCCCCCGCCUCCACCA